CAGUAGCCGCGGUAAUACGUAGGUGGCAAGCGUUGUCCGGAAUUAUUGGGCGCAAAGGGCUCGCAGGCGGUUUCUUAAGUCUGAUGUGAAAGCCCCCGGCUCAACCGGGGAGGGUCAUUGGAAACUGGGAAACUUGAGUGCAGAAGAGGAGAGUGGAAUUCCACGUGUAGCGGUGAAAUGCGUAGAGAUGUGGAGGAACACCAGUGGCGAAGGCGACUCUCUGGUCUGUAACUGACGCUGAGGAGCGAAAGCGUGGGGAGCGAACAGGAUUAGAGACCCCAGUAGUCCCUGUCUCUUAUAC
rnacentral:rRNA from 1 species